rnacentral:rRNA from 1 species
CAGUAGCCGCGGGAAUACGAAGGGGGCUAGCGUUGCUCGGAAUGACUGGGCGUAAAGGGCGCGUAGGCGGUUCACGCAGUCAGAUGUGAAAUUCCUGGGCUUAACCUGGGGGCUGCAUUUGAGACGCGUGGGCUUGAGUGUGAAAGAGGGUCGUGGAAUUCCCAGUGUAGAGGUGAAAUUCGUAGAUAUUGGGAAGAACACCGGUGGCGAAGGCGGCGACCUGGUUCAUAACUGACGCUGAGGCGCGAAAGCGUGGGGAGCAAACAGGAUUAGAGACCCCUGUAGUCCCUGUCUCUUAUAC